CUCCCGUCAUCGCUCUGCCGAGGCUACAGGCUGCCGCCCGGCCCCGGGGGCUUAAGGCUGAUGGGGCGCGUGGUGGUAGAGACCCUGGGCUCAGCUUUGCGGGGAUGCUCCCGCAGCCGCCCCGGGCGAAGGCCUCCGGCUCUGUGCCAAGUAGCCGCGGGAGCCCGCGAAUGCCGCCAUAGCUGCGCGGUUGGGGACCGAUCUGGGCGGGGAGAGCUGAGUUCACAACACAGCUGUGCUCUUCCCCCGCCAAGAUGGGCAGGAGCUUCUGGCCCCGCUGGGCGAGGGGGGCAGGCCCGGGCGGUAUUGGCGACAGGGGUUCAAAGCUGCUCGGGGAGUUGAGGUGCCUGAAUCCAAAAUUUAGAUUUUCAAGUGCCAGUUAAGUAUCUAAAUCCCUUUGCAGAUAUUUUCACACGUCACGGCAAGCAGGCCCCUGCCCACCCGUACAGAAAGCAGCUAGAAAGCCAGGACUCACUGGCCAUGUGGACAGCCUGAACAGGGAGUGGGUUAACAGAAGCUGGUCUGGGGAAGCACUGAAUCUCUAGCUGGCACUGACUGGGCCCCCAAGUGGAAGCAGCCACAGGAGGUAUUGCCUUUGUCUGUCUACAUUGUCCCUUUGCUUGAAAAGGAAGAAAGCAGAAAACAGGAUUAGAGGGAACAGAGGAGCCUGAGGUAGUUGCUGCUACCCGGCUUCCAUCAUGAAAGGGGAAGAACGCAGUUCUUCUGUACAUCUGCUUGGGAAAACAGAUUAAUAAUCGGUUUCUCCUACUCCAGUCUUACUAGAACUAGAAAGAAUUUUCAAAAAGACUGAUUUUAUUGAACUGUUUAUUCUGGCUUAGAAUAAAAACCUUACUUUCAUGUAGCAAAGUACACUGAAGGUAUGCCAUGCUGCUAGUUACUGGGGGUACAAAACACCCCAAUUAGUAACCCAAACAAGUGGGGGAAAAGACGCAUCAACUCAGACCUUCACAGCAUGUAUCAUUGGUAUUAUUUACAAUUUCUCUUGUUUAAAUAAGCCUGGGAGACCUCAUACAGUAUACAUGGUUAUUGCAACAGUACAGCACUUGCCUUUAUGUUCAAAAACCUCAGAAGUUGUUCAGGAUCAUGAUUUGUGGUUCCCAAAAAGGCAUUGUUGUUAACAUGCAAAAAACAUUACUAAACAAUAUUAUCUAACUUCUACGGCUGCCAAUACUGGACCUUAAUAAGGAAACCAAUUACAAAAUACUUCCUUGUAGUGCUAUACAAAAAGAUAUAAAAUUAAGAUAAGAUUCUAUCAACCACUUUUAAAUAUUCCAAUUUUCCAACAGUGCAGUUUUCCACAUCUUUACCACCACUGAACAUUUUGAGGAUAAAGUUAACAAAAAUCAGCAAAUCAGAUAAAAAUUUUUUAAUCUUUGGAUCCCUUUAUUCCUGUGGCCUUCAUAUACAUAUACAAACGCAAAUUACCAGAUUCCUUUUUCAAUUAUAACUUAAACAUAUCAAAAAGUUGUAACUAGUAAUUUAGAAUUGAGGAAAAAAAAAUCCAUACCAAGUCAUUUGUGAAUUCACUGGUUUAACAACCAGAAUUUUGAAUGUCUCCAAGCUAGAGUCUAUCAAAAUGCAAACAACUUCAAACACUAAGAAUUCUCUUUAAAUUGAUUAUGUCUACUGGUAUUACAACAAAGUUAACAUUUCAAGAAUUGACACAUGGAGGCAUAUUUUUAUCCCAAGCAUUUUAGAAGGAGCAUAUUAACUCUCAUGCCUGGUCCAUUUUUUAAAAAGUGAGUAUUACCACAAAGUAAAAUUAAUUGCAAGUUCUGACAUGUGACAAAAUAUUUUAUUUUUGUUCUUAUUUGAAAAAUCUUCUUAAUUUGGUCAAAUCCUGUGAUAUGCCAGACAUUACAAAAUGAAGUUCUUGCAAGAAAGAAGAGUAUUCAGCUUUGUAUAAUGGAAGAACAUUUUCAAAUCUUCAUUAUAAUCCAAAUAUAAAAAUCAAACAAAUUUAAAGCCUGAAAAGCUACGAAGAAAACAAACUAACUCAGUGUUCUUUAGCAUAUCAACUUUUGCAAUAAACAUAGUAUGUUUGCGGACUUAAAAAUGUUUAUUCUUUAAAAAAUUAGUUGCUUUUUAUACAGCUAUACAAAGUUUGUAAUGUUUCUUUGGCAAUGGGAUAUAAUGGAAUUUUACAACUAUAUAAAAAGUUUCCUUUGCCUAAGAAACAAUAUUUACUGUGUGUACAUAUUUGUCUGACAAAGCAAGUUUUCUACUGUCCAGCACCCUAGUUGACAAAGUACAACUAUCUCAAAAGGGAUAUUACAGGAUUUCCAAAAAACAACCUUCAGUGGAUCAAAACACUCACAGUAUCGACGGCCUUCUGCAUACAAUUGUCCUUGUAACUUGCGGCAAUUAUUAAAUACAGUUUAGUAAUAAGAAAAAUCCUUUCAGUGAUGAAAAAAUACUUAAAUUCCAUCGAAGUACUGCUUUAUAGCUAACUAUACAUAAGAAAUUACUUACCCUUCUAUCUCAAAUAUAUUUAAUGCUCCUUGUUUUCAAAGAUGGCCAUUUUUCAAAAAGUAACUGCAUUAACCCCCUUUGAAAUUAAAUAGUUAAAUCCCAGUGCUGGUGACAAGUAUACAGCAAAUUAACUUCAUUCUUUGCAAACUAAUUCUCUUGACCAUGAAGAUCUAGAAGUUCACCUGGUUCCAGCUUUCUUGUAGACUAUGCAGAAACUUUGUUGUCUUUCUAGAAGAGAUGUUAGAAUGUUAUAUUUUGUUCAAACAUAUUUGUAGUCAAACUAGUUUGAGAAUAUGGAAAAUGAUUAAUUGAUUUUAGAUGGCCACACACACAAAAAAGACAUCACAGUAUUUUUCCCAAAGGCUAUUAACAGAAUCACAGAAAAAAUGCUUUUUAUAAUUAAUUUUAACUUCUAUUCAAUGCACCCCUCAUAGUCCAGCACACUUAAAGGACGCUCGUCAUCCAGGCUUGGAAACACUUAUGGCAUUAUAGAUUAUGUAAAAAUACCAACUUUCCAGCCAGCCUAGUUGCUGCAUUAUGCACCCACUUCUGCUCAAGCCUCAGAUGUUGCCUCACUCCAUGUCAAUGCUACUGGCUGCUGACUGGAUAAAGCAUGCUCAGAUCCCAAAGGAGCUCAGAACUACAGGACUAACCCCUAGCAGUUUGUGAAGAAUGACUGACAGAGUCAGGAAGUUGUGCCAAUGCAAGAAAAUUCAGGAUUCCAUAAUGAAUAUUUCAGAAAAAUAUCAUGAAAAUUUCUAAGUAACAACUGCCUACCCCCCUCUCCCCUUCCCAGCGAACUAUCACAAGAACAUGUAUUCAAUCUGGGCCAGGAUUUUAACAUAGGCUUACUUCUAUCUAUUUUUGUUUACUUGAUGUAUGCCACUCAGCGUGGAUAAUAAACGGUCACAUUCAUAUUUUUUCUGGUCUGACUAACUUUCUGGUUCUAGAGCAGUGAUGCAACGUUUGGGAAAAUGUGAAGUGGUUUUCACUGAAAUAGUGACAUUAUAAAAGUUUCAAUAUUGGAAUCAAUGGAGCUAUGACGACUUAUCCCAGCAAAGGAUCUGGCCAAUUAUGGUUCUGAGUUUAAAAAAAAAAAAAAAUUUUUUUUUUUUUUUUUUUUUUUUUUAAAAAGUGCCAAAUCUAUCUGAAGUGUCCCUUUAACCAAAUGCAUCACUUGGCAGUUGCUGCUUAGGGAUGUCAACCUGCUCUGCCCUUCCUAGAAGGCACUAGAAACCAGAGGAGAUAUGAUCUCAAUCACAACUCCAAAGAAUACAUCAUAUAACUUUUUGAGGUGGUCAUUUUAGAGUGUAUAUAUUUUGGGGAAGGACUAUUUCUCACUUAACUCAGUGGCUCAGCCCAUCCUGAACACAAACUAUUUCAGUUGGACAACUAUGGUCUCAUCUCUUAUUCUUAGGGGGACUUCAAGCUUUCUUAAUGUUAUAUUUAUAUAAUUAAGACACUGAAUUUAAGACAGUAAGGAAGUAUGGAUAAAUUUGAGCUAUUUUUGCAGUUUCAACAGUGGAUGACAUGGGAAAUUCCUUUCUUCCAAGUUCUUCCUAUCCCUGUGUAGCCUUCCAUGGCACAGUUUUUAUAAUGUCAAAAAGUGAAAAUAAUCAUCUUCAUUAGAUCUUGCAUAAGAGCAAUUGUAAGCACAUUAGAAACUGUCUUGGCCAUAGCCUUAAUUCUCAGUUUGAUUCUUUAGAGCUAAAAUGAGACUUCUGCAGAGGGCCAACUCAAGGCAUCUGCAUCUCUAAGUUCAACUAACAUCCUACUCUGAGGGUUUAAGUGGGAUUUAACAAGUGCAUAGGACUUGUUCUGACCCCUCUGUAUGGGAGUGAAUUUAAUCCCUAAAGAACAAUUGUUUUUGUGGAAGACUGCAGAAGGAACUUGAGUAUGAAAUGCCUGCGCAGGAUGAGAGCUUAAAGCGGCUUACUGCUGUUUUAGAAAAUUAUGUUUCUCCAAAGAAAAUAUCAGAACUAUGGAAAUUUUAAAGCUUUUAAUAUUUUGUUUACUGUGAAAGAUUUAAAAAUGGGUGAUGAAUCCUGCAGUAAAGCAGUUUAAGCUACAAAAAAAAGAGUUCAACCCUCCUCUUCAAAUCCUUGUAUUUUCAGAAUACUGCUUAAUAAAUGCCUCUGUUCCAACUGCCUUUCCUGACUGUACAAUCCCAAAGGGCACUUGAUCAGGUCCUAAGUUCUUAUUGAUGGCGUAACCUUCAAAUUUCACUAAACAAAAAGUAUUCUAUUAAUACAAGUUUUUUAUUAUUACCCUAUAUUCAAAGUCAGCAAACUCCCUGCCUCCACGACCACCUCUGAAUCCACCACGAAAUCCUCGAGGAGCGCCGAAGCCACCUCUUCCACCUCCACGUCCUCUGCCACCACGGAAACCAAUUCCUCCUCUACCGCGGUAGCCGCCACGACCACGAUUUGAACGCAGUGGUAUUCCGAAAGUCUCCGCAUUUAACCUCCUUUCUUCAGCCCAGGUUGGCCUCCUUUCUCUAUCAUGUACAAAGUGAUAAGAGCUCUUUAAAAUGUGUCUAAAUUUUCACUUUGAAACAGCCUACAGUGAGAGAGCCUGUCCAGAAGCACUUAAAUCACCACAAAAGGCACUACAAUGAAACACUUCGCUUAUCUAUCAUAUUUAAGUUUUGCUUGAGGUGAUACCUAUUUGUAGUAUCUGAAUGCCUGGCACAAUAAUCCUUUUAGUAUAAUGGAAAGGAAUGUUUUACUGUAGCUAGAUACUGUAAUAUUGCACUGAGAAUUUCACUUUAAGAUGGAAUGCUGCCUUGUGUACUCUACAUUCUGCACAAUUACAAAGGCUCUGUGUUGAUUCAAACAGGAAGUUGAGAAAAUUAGUACCACCAGGAAACUUGAAAUUAGGCCUUAGUUUUCUAUUUUCUCUAUCUGAUGGCACUGAAACAGCACUGAACCUCCAACCGGUGCAAAGAAGUUGCAGAAAUCCAAAUUGUUGCCUUCCUGCUAUCAGUUCAUCACUGGGGAAGCACUGAAUCAACUCUCAAAAAGUGCAUCAAUCCAUCAAAGGACCUGUGUUUUAUUCUGCAUAUUUUUAUACUGGGAAAUUGCAAGUGGGAUUGAACUUCGGUUGCUUUCCAACCAUAGUCAUAAACUUCAUUUUUAAACUAUAAACAAAUUAAUGCUGAUGCACUAUAUUAUGGAAUAGACAUGCACUGAGGAGAAUAAUUGGCUUCCCAUUGCAGGGCAUACCUAUUGUCAUCACAAGAGAUGUUAUCAAAAAAGGAUUUGGUUUUGUCAUAGUAGCAGUUGGGUCCAAGUGGAUCUUCUUCAUCAGCAUUCCCUUCACUGUUUUGGGUGUCAACACCUGAGUCACCUUUAUCUUCCCCAUUUACAGGCUUCUCUGGUUUCUCAAGUUUAUCUUCUAGAAAAAUAAAAAUAAUCAGAAUUCUUCCAUUCUAAUAAGAUUUAACAGAAAAGGCUAAAACUAACUUGUGACAAAAUCUAAUUUUUAAAAUACAAAAAAUCCUAAAGCCUAAACAUAAAAAGUGCAACUGUUCAAAAAAAUCUGACUUUCAUAUGGUUCCCAUAUGAAAGAACAUAUAUAGCAGUUAGUUAUGACACUCAGAAUUUAGAGGGAAAACUUCUGGAAGUUCUAAUACAUGGGAAUAACCAUGAGGUAACACCAUGGAGAGAAGGUCAGUAUCCAAUUGUAAAUAGUCACAAGGUGUUGCCAUCUAUUAACUAGACCUUCUAAAUUAGGCUUUGUGUUGUUGCUGUCCAGCGGACUGAGGUCCCCUUGAUUUUUUGCAGAUUAAAUAAGGUGGUAUUAGUAGGUGAGAUAUGAAAAUCAUUUUAUAGUUCUGGAUAAAAUGUAUUAUACUUGUGUGGAAGUGUGAAUUUAUUAGAUUAACAGGACUAAAGAUCUGUAUUAUUUAAUAUACUUGAACAGAACAUAUAAUUAAUGACAAAUACAUGAAAAAAAAAAACAACUUUGCCUCUUCAUCCUCUAAGUACUUUGAUAUACUAUAGAGGACUCCACCUCAAUGUUAUAAUGCAUUGCUAAGUUAACCGGUUCUGUAACAGUCCCCAAAAGUUAAAUUAUCGUGCUUGGAUCUCAAUGCCUUGCCAAAAAAGGGAAAAAUAAAAUGAUACAUUAUCAAAACCUGAA